GGGGUGCUAGCUCAACUGGGAGAGCAGCGGCCUCCAAAGCCGAAGGUUCCAGGUUCGAGUCCUGGGCGCCCCG
rnacentral:tRNA from 1 species